UAUAAAUAUAUUAUAGGAUUAAUGGUGCAUUUUAAUUACGUAUAAUAAACCUCCUACAGGGUUAUAGUUACCAUCUCUUGUGAAAAGAAAGUUAAAAACUAUUAGGUUGAAACUAAAUAGAAAAUAAUAGAAACGAUUAACAGUGAAAAAUAAAAAUGUUUAUGGUUUGGAAAGCAUGUAAAAAGGCCUUUUUAAACAAAUAAAGAAAUUAAUUUAGAAAAUAAUUUCAAACGAAGCUGACUUGAUAAAAUAAGGUCAAGAAGAAAACUUGAAAAAACAAUUCAAUUAUAUAAAAUACUAGAUUAUAUAUGGGCUUAUACGUAUUUUUAUUGAUAAGAGUAAAAUGUCCAGAUAGUCCAUGUGGUUUUGUAAAGUAACACCUAUAGUCUCUAACUUUUUUGAAAUUUACACUGGUGCUUCCUGUGGUUUAGUUUUUGUUACUCGGAUGGUCCCUAGAGAGAAUGUCAAUUAGUUUUCACCGUUAAGUCCAUGUAAAAUUACUUAUUUACCUCUCU
rnacentral:lncRNA from 1 species